GACGAGUUUGAUCAUGGCUCAGAAUCAACGCUGGCGGCGUGCCUCAGACAUGCAAGUCGAACGAUUAAAGCUCUCUUCGGAGAGUGCAUAGAGUGGCGCACGGGUGAGUAACACGUAAGUAAUCUACCUUCGAGUGGGGAAUAACGUCCGGAAACGGGCGCUAAUACCGCAUAAUGCAGCGGCAUCGCAAGAUGACAGUUGUUAAAGGAGCAAUCCGCUUGAAGAGGAGCUUGCGGCAGAUUAGCUAGUUGGUAGGGUAAUGGCCUACCAAGGCUACGAUCUGUAACCGGUCUUAGAGGACGGUCGGUCACACUGACACUGAAUAACGGGUCAGACUCCUACGGGAGGCAGCAGUCGGGAAUUUUGGGCAAUGGGCGAAAGCCUGACCCAGCAACGCCGCGUGAAGGAUGAAGUAUUUCGGUAUGUAAACUUCGAAAGAAUAGGAAGAAUUAAUGACGGUACUAUUUAUAAGGUCCGGCUAACUACGUG
rnacentral:rRNA from 1 species